GACGAACGCUGGCGGCGUGCUUAACACAUGCAAGUCGAACGAAGAGCGAUGGAAGCUUGCUUCUAUCAAUCUUAGUGGCGAACGGGUGAGUAACGCGUAAUCAACCUGCCCUUCAGAGGGGGACAACAGUUGGAAACGACUGCUAAUACCGCAUACGAUCUAAUCUCGGCAUCGAGGAUAGAUGAAAGGUGGCCUCUACAUGUAAGCUAUCACUGAAGGAGGGGAUUGCGUCUGAUUAGCUAGUUGGAGGGGUAACGGCCCACCAAGGCGAUGAUCAGUAGCCGGUCUGAGAGGAUGAACGGCCACAUUGGGACUGAGACACGGCCCAGACUCCUACGGGAGGCAGCAGUGGGGAAUCUUCCGCAAUGGACGAAAGUCUGACGGAGCAACGCCGCGUGAGUGAUGACGGCCUUCGGGUUGUAAAGCUCUGUUAAUCGGGACGAAAGGCCUUCUUGCGAAUAGUUAGAAGGAUUGACGGACCGAAUAGAAGCCAC
rnacentral:rRNA from 1 species